CGCCGCGGGUACACCUUCCGGGCGGGGCCUCGGAGGACCGCCUCCCGCGCUGAUCUUCUGCCCUCGGGCGCUCGGCACCGGCACCGGCGGGGGGGGGGGGGGGGGCGGCUCCAACGGCUGGCCGGCGUGCACGGAAAUUAAAUGAAGGCCGGAGGGAGUAAUCCCCGCAAAGCGCAUCUCUGGCCGCCCUCGCUGAAAAUCCUUCCAGCUCCUGGGCUCCCGCCCCGCGCUCUUCCACCCCCCACCCCGACCCCACCCCGGCAGUGAUCGCCUCCGGCAAACUGUGCGUCUCUCCCUCCCUUGCGCAUCGCUGUUUCCCCGGGCACCUAGAACAGCACCUCACAUCCUGAUCAAUACAUAUGUCAAAAAUAAUUUUAAAAUAAUAAUAAUAAUGGGACUUUCAGGAACCGUAACCUCGAGAAAUGGAGAAGGGAGACCAUUCCUCACAUCACUAAACAUUUUGUGUGAAGGCCAGCACCGAAAAAUGCUUAACUACUUGGUGGGAUCAAAUUUCUCAAAGGCAGAGGUCAUCUGUCCGUCCAGGCAGCUAAUGAGCCAUGAAGACUAAAUGGAACACGGGAUCCUGGAUGGCUUCCUGAACCACAGAAGGGACAUUAGUAGGACAGCUGGUGAAACAGGAAUAGUCAGAAGUCACACGGCAAGACUGGGGUCUCUGCUCAGGGUCUCAGGAGGCUGAAAUCACUGUGAGUGGGGGAGUUCCCAACCGGAGACUGGAGAAAAAAACCGCCUUGCAAGCUCAUUCCCAGGGCAGAAUUCAGUUCCUGUAGUUCAGGAGUAAAGUCCUCACUUCCUGCCGGCCGCCAGCUGCCAGCCACCAGCACUCUGUUCCCAGGGGCUGCCCGCAUCCUUGCCACGUGGCCGCCUCCUGUCUUCAGUCGCGGAGUUUCAGAAAUCAGGAUUCAGUCUCUAGGGGACAGACGCUAUCCACACCCUCGCUGUCCCGGAUGGAAGGAGAGUAGCAUUGUGUUUAGUGCUCAGCAGCAGCUCCGGAGGCACCAGCAGCUGGGAGUGCACGCCCUGGGGCUGCCCGGUUCCCGGCCAGUCGGGGACAGUUGUCCCUUUCUUCACAAGGAAAGAGUGGCUGCAGCGAACGGGGUUUAAGUUGGGCCUUUGAAGCCCACCGAGCCCAGGGCCGGGCUUGCAUUGAGGAUCGAAUCACUGAAAACAUCAGAGCCCUAAAGGACUCCAGAAUGUCACCAAGCUGCUCUUGUGAAGCUCGCUCCUGUGCCAGCAGAUGACCAGGCUUUUUGUCGUUGUCGCAACGAGCGUGUCCUUUUUUCUCAACACUCUGACAAACUCCUGCUUCAAGCAGGGGCGAGCACUCACCCCCACUCGCUACUGACAAAGCUGCGGCUAAGGGAAGUGGCCUGCCCUGGGCGCCUGGCCACAAAGACGGAGCAGAGACCUCCAGCUGGGCCUCUCAACCGAUGCCACUGUCCUCACCGUGCCACACCCUCUCUCCAGGGAGCUGCGUUCUCUCCAGUCAGUCGUUGUCCUCCGGGCGGGAUAUCACAGUCCUCAGAGGGCUUGGCUGAGCUGGGAACCCAGGCCCAUCUGACCUCAGUGUAUUUAGUCUUAAUAACCUAUUUACGGCUGAGAAGCCAGACUGCCUCUUUCCCAGAAGUCAGGCACAACUGCUCUGGCCAAGCGGUGGCUUUCCACUCCCAUUAUAGUCCUAGAAGAUGAUGCUGCCCUUCUGAAGAGGAAAAUGAAGAGUCUUUGUGAUUCAAAUGAGUCACAUUGUCACUUCCAGAGAAAAAGCAAGUCUUCGAAGGGGGCUCUCACUAAACCCGUGAUCAGAACAACUUGGAGGCAAACUGGACGGCAUUGUGGAAGCUACGUGGUGGACGAUGUGUGACCAGCUCCAGAACUGGCCCUCCCUUCCACGCCCCGGGCCAUUUCUUCCCUCCUCUGCCUCUGUGUCCCCAUCUGUAAAAUGCAGAGAAUAUUAGUUGUUGGCCCGAUGUGAGGACCGAAUGACUGCUUAAAAGAGAAGCAGGAUUUCUUUUUUUUUUUUAAUGUUUAUUUUUGAGAGAGAGAGAGAGAGACUGCAAGCAGGGGAGGGGCAGAGAGAGAGGGAGACAGAGGAUCCAAAGUGGGCUCUACGCUGACAGCAAAGAACUGGGUGCAGGGCUCGAACCCACAAACUGCGAGAUCGUGACCAGGGCCUAAGUCAGAAGAUUAACUGACUGAGCCACCCAGGCGCUCCGAAAACGCAGAAUUUCUAAUGUUGGAGGAACAUAUUUUUACUGCACUUGAGGGUGGCUUUUCUACAUUAUACGAAAGACUGCUUCGAGAUAUUUCUAUUUUUCAAUAUACAUUUUAUCCAAAUUCAAAAUUUUAGGUUUUCCUUAAGUUCUUAGACUUAACUCAAAGCUGCAUUAUUCUACUUAUAACCUUAUCAUAUAAAAUAUAGUAAAACUUAACAGUCAUUGUUCAGGGGAAUUUGAUGACUGGUCCCAUGUAGAAAUCCAGCUAUUUAAACUGCCUUAUCAAUUAAAAACUGCAUUUAUGAAAUACUUUAUACUUCAGAACACUUUGGUUUGCUCACAAGCCUUGCCAAAUAACCAACUAAAUAUGGCAAAUCUUCAGUUCUUUUAUUAAAUGUUCCCAUACUGCUGACAAUCUUAAUAAAAUUGCAUUGCACCUUUUAGCUUAAAGCUCAGGUCAUGACCUCAGAGUCGUGAGAUUGAGCCCCGAGUUGGGCUCUGUGCUGAGUGUGGAACCUGCUUAAGAUUGUCUCUCUGUCCCUCCUUGGCUCUCACGUGUGCUCGCUUGUGCUCUCUCUCUCUCUUUCUCUCAAAAAAAAAAAAAAAAAAUUUUUUUUUUAAACUGGGAUCACAAGGCCUGUCCAUUGGAUACUCAAAUUUGCCACAUCCUCUUAAAAUUACAAGUUCUCAAGAUGCCAAAGAGAUACUGGUCACCUAAACUUAACCCCAAAAUAUCAAAAGUGUGGGUUUAAUUUGCUUCAUAUUCCUCUGCUUAAAUAGAAACUUUUCCACAGUUAAAAGAAAAAGACUCUGAAGAAACAGUUAUGUCAUAUCAGCAAGUCAGGGCUCCUGUCCCAAGGCACUGACUAAGGUUACUUAUUGACCAGAAAGACCCUGAUUGGGACAGCAAAAAAUAUCCAACAUAAUAAAGAUUUUCCAGACCUUC